rnacentral:tRNA from 1 species
GCGCCAGUAGCUCAGCUUGGAUAGAGCGAUAUUGUGAACUACAUGUUCGCCACGCUAAAGCCUUCUAAGCUAUAGGCCCGGAGUUCGAAUCUUCGCUGGCGCG